rnacentral:rRNA from 1 species
ACUCAAAGGAAUAGACGGGGACCCGCACAAGCGGUGGAGCGUGUGGUUUAAUUCGAGGCUACGCGAAGAACCUUACCAAGGCUUGACAUCCCAGUCGCACGUCUAAGAAACUAGAUGGUCAUUUAGUUGGACUGGUGACAGGUGAUGCAUGGCCGUCGUCAGCUCGUAUCGUGAGAUGUCAGGUUAAGUCCUUUAACGAGCGCAACCCUCGUUGUUAGUUGAAUUUUUCUAGCAAGACUGCCUCGGUAACGGGGAGGAAGGAGGGGAUGACGCCAGGUCAGCAUGUCCCUUACGCCUUGGGCGACACACACGCUACAAUGGCCGGUACAACGGGCUGCUAAGUCGCAAGACGGAGCUAAUCCCAUCAAAACCGGUCUCAGUUCGGAUUGGGGGCUGCAACUCGCCCCCAUGAAGUUGGAAUCGCUAGUAAACGUGGGUCAGCACACCACGUUGAAUACGUUCCCGGGUCUUGCACACACCGCCCGU